rnacentral:rRNA from 1 species
GACGAACGCUGGCGGCGUGCUUAACACAUGCAAGUCGAACGGACAGGCCCUGCUUUUGUGGGGUGCUCGAGUGGCGAACGGGUGAGUAACACGUGAGUAACCUGCCCUUGACUUUGGGAUAACUUCAUGCAACUGGUGCUAAUACCGGAUAGGAGCUCCUGCUGCAUGGUGGGGGUUGGUAAGUUUGGGCGGUUGGGGAUGGACUGGCGGCUUAUCAGCUUGUUGGUGGGGUUGUGUCUUACCAAGGCUUUGACGGGUUGCCUGGCUGAGAGGGUGACCGGCUACAUUGGGACUGAACUACGACCCAGACUCCAACGGGAGGCAGCGGUGGAGAAGAGAAUCCAGUGGACGGGGGGAUAAUGCAACGACGCCACGUGGGGUAUAACGGCCUUGGGGUAGUAAACCGAUAUUGCCUGUGACGAAGCGUUAGUGACGGUAAUGGGUGAAGAAGCACCGGCUAACUACGUG